ensembl:lincRNA
ACAAAACCCUUUCUCCCUUAAAUUGCUUUUGUCAGGGUCUAUUUUCAUAAUAGGAAAAGUAACUAAUACAGCUACAAUCUUUUCACUAAUGUCUUCACAGCCAGUGGCCUCUUCCAGUGCCUAUGGGAUCCACACUUAUGUUCUGAAGUCUCCAGUGCAGGCAGAGAGAGAUGUUUCUGGAAGAAGUUGUAGGGAAUGAGGAGAGAAGGCUGCUUUGUCCCAAGGAGUGGGUGAAUAGCUAGGGCAGGCAGUCUACUGUACACACUGCUCCCCCUAGCCCUGCUAGCAACACCAUCAGUAAACCUUGCCUCAUUCUAAACCUUACCCUUUGUGCUGCUCAAGGGGGAAUUGGCUAGCUGGCCCUUGCCAGUUUCUGUCCUUACCAUCUUUUCCCUUCCAGAAAGCUGCUCGCUUGCUUUCUCUUGACCCACAAAAGACAUCACUUCCUUGAAGACUUGGCUCACGUUAAGCCUCCUGGCAGCUCCUUCCUGAGGCAGAGGGCCAAAAUCCUGACAAGAUUAAGAUGAGGUUUUGGAACUGGGCCAAGCUGGAAAAACAGGAAAGAUGACGAACCAAGCUGCCUCCUUCUGGGGAUUGUUUGUUCCAGUGUUCCCUCAAAUGAGUUCUGUGGGCACUUUGAAACCCUUGACAUUUUACCCAGUGCACGCCUCCGGCCUUUUCCUGCCCCUGCCCUCCAGCACAUAUCUAGUUAUAGUGAUUGUUGGAUGUAUUCACUCCUAGAACCACUUUGCUAACUGCCUCCAAUCCUAGAAAUCAGGAAGCACACAUAUCUUGAGUGAGUGUUUACCAUGUUUGAUAGGAGGAUACUGUCUUCUAGAACAAGCCCCCUUCAGCUUCUUAAGUGACAUGAACUAACAUUUUUCGAGUUGACAUCCCUCAAGAUAAAUGAUGCCAGGAGGCGUCUGUGCAAACAUCCUGACCCGCAGCUUGUUGUGAGUCUUGCUUGUUCCCGGUGCCUUCGCCACACUGCUUGGCCUGGUUCACAGGCAAGAUGAAGCUACACAGAUUCAAGCUCCCAAGAAUGAAUGGCUAAUCUGUUCUACUUGCUCCUGUACCCAGGCAACUCACUCAACACCAGGCUCACAGAGGGUCUUCGGAGAUUGUUGCUCCAAGGGUGAGCAAGUGCAUGAGGGCCUGGCCUGGCACAUCGGAGCAUUUCCACACUUCUGCACCUUUGCUUCUGGAGCCCCCACUGCUGAGAAUGCCUUCCCACCACCAACUCAAGCAUCAUCACUUCCUGGGAUGGUCGCUCACAAAAAGAAUUGGCUCUUCCUGUGUGUGACUGCGUUCUUCUCCUCUUUUCCAUAUCUGGGUAAUCACACAAUCGUCUCUGUUCUCUGUUGCUGCAUCAGGCCUCACUGGUUCCUAGUGCCUGUUUGCUCGUGUGUGUGUGUGUGUGUGUGUGUGUGUUGUGUGUGUGUGUGUGUGUGUGUGUGUGUGUGUGUGUGUGUGUGAGAUGUCCAGGUGUGCGCAUGCACAAAUGACUGUUGUCAGAAGUGCUGUGGUGUCUGUAGCCAUGGCGGCAGUGCUGCAUUCCUGCUGUGACAAUUUCUCCCGCUGAUGACUCCAUCCCCAGGGCCUUGGGAGCACUGAGAAGCUUCUGUCAAGGGGCAGUGGCUUUUCC